AUUUUAACGACACACACAUUUCGUCACAUAAAACGGGGUCCUAAUUAUCAAUGGGUGUUUUAUGGGAAAUGUGGAGGCUUAAC
rnacentral:sRNA from 1 species